rnacentral:rRNA from 1 species
GAUGAACGCUGCCAGAAUGCUUAACACAUGCAAGUCAACUGUGGCGGACGGGUGAGUAACGCGUAAAGAACUUGCCUCCCAGCUAGUGACAACAUUUGGAAACGAAUGCUAAUACCUGAUACUGUGAGAGAGCUUUGCGUCCCAUUAGCUAGUUGGAGAGGUAACGGCUCACCAAGGCGAUGCUGGGUAGCCGGCCUGAGAGGGUGAUCGGCCACAAGGGGACUGAGACACGGCCCUUACUCCUGCGGGAGGAAGCAGUGGGGAAUAUAGGACAAUGGACCAAAGUCUGAUCCAGCAAUUCGGUGGGAACGAUGAAGUUUUCGGAAUGUAAAGUGCUUUAAGUUGGGAAGCGGUACCGACAGAAGAAGUGACGGCUAAAUACGUGCCAGCAGCCGCGGUAAUAC